rnacentral:misc_RNA from 1 species
UUUCCGUAGGUGAACCUGCGGAAGGAUCAAUAGGAAGAGAGAUGUGAGCGCGGGAGCGCGAACAUAUGGGUGCGCUGUGCCAGCCAGCCACGCGGGAGGCGGGUGCAGAGUGACACACGGGUGCGAACGGAGAGAAGAGUGUGAAAGGAGAGAAGGAAGGAAGAGAGAGUGAGAACCCUCAACAAAGGAUCUCUAGGCUCUUGAAACGAUUAAGAACGCAGCAGUCGGAAGCGCACACGUCUGAACUCCCGACACGCAUAGAAAACUCGAAUUCCGUAC